CCAUUCCUCUAAUCCCUAUGCCAUGCUAUUGAUAUACAUAGGCGUUAGAGGAGUGACC
rnacentral:pre_miRNA from 1 species